GACGAACGCUGGCGGCGUGCUUAACACAUGCAAGUCGAACGGAAAGGCCCUGCUUUUGUGGGGUGCUCGAGUGGUGAACGGGUGAGUAACACGUGAGUAACCUGCCCUUGACUUUGGGAUAACUUCAGGAAACUGGGGCUAAUACCGGAUAGGAGCUCCUGCUGCAUGGUGGGGGUUGGAAAGUUUCGGCGGUUGGGGAUGGACUCGCGGCUUAUCAGCUUGUUGGUGGGGUAGUGGCUUACCAAGGCUUUGACGGGUAGCCGGCCUGAGCGGGUGACCGGCCACAGUGGGACUGGGAUACGGCCCAGACUCCUACGGGAGGCAGCAGUGGGGAAUAUUGCACAAUGGGCGGAGGCCUGAUGCAGCAACGCCGCGUGCGGGAUGACGGCCUUCGGGUUGUAAACCGCUUUCGCCUGUGACGAAGCGUGAGUGACGGUAAUGGGUAAAGAAGCACCGGCUAACUACGUG
rnacentral:rRNA from 1 species